GGUGUGGUAGCUCAGUGGUUAAAACAGUGGACUUCUGAUUGGAAGAUUGUGGGUUCAGAUCCCAUCACUGUCA